rnacentral:tRNA from 1 species
GCCUGGGUGGCUCAAUUGGUUAAGUGUCUGACUCUUGAUUUGGGCUCAGGUCAUGAUCUCAGGGCUUGUGGGUUUGAGUCCCACAUCAGGCU